rnacentral:rRNA from 1 species
AGUGAACGCUGGCGGUAGGCCUAACACAUGCAAGUCGAACGGCAGCACAGUAAGAGCUUGCUCUUACGGGUGGCGAGUGGCGGACGGGUGAGGAAUACAUCGGAAUCUACUUUUUCGUGGGGGAUAACGUAGGGAAACUUACGCUAAUACCGCAUACGACCUACGGGUGAAAGCAGGGGAUCUUCGGACCUUGCGCGAUUGAAUGGGCCGAUGUCGGAUUAGCUAGUUGGCGGGGUAAGGGCCCACCAAGGCGACGAUCCGUAGCUGGUCUGAGAGGAUGAUCAGCCACACUGGAACUGAGACACGGUCCAGACUCCUACGGGAGGCAGCAGUGGGGAAUAUUGGACAAUGGGCGCAAGCCUGAUCCAGCCAUACCGCGUGGGUGAAGAAGGCCUUCGGGUUGUAAAGCCCUUUUGUUGGGAAAGAAAAGCAGCAGGUUAAUACCCCGCUGUUCUGACGGUACCCAAAGAAUAAGCACCGGCUAACUUCGUG